rnacentral:rRNA from 1 species
CCUACGGGUGGCAGCAGUGAGGAAUAUUGGUCAAUGGACGAGAGUCUGAACCAGCCAAGUAGCGUGAAGGAUGACUGCCCUAUGGGUUGUAAACUUCUUUUAUAAAGGAAUAAAACGAGGCACGUGUGCCUUUUUGCAUGUACUUUAUGAAUAAGGAUCGGCUAACUCCGUGCCAGCAGCCGCGGUAAUACGGAGGAUCCGAGCGUUAUCCGGAUUUAUUGGGUUUAAAGGGAGCGUAGAUGGGUUGUUAAGUCAGUUGUGAAAGUUUGCGGCUCAACCGUAAAAUUGCAAUUGAUACUGGCAGUCGUGAGUACAGUUGAGGUAGGCGGAAUUCGUGGUGUAGCGGUGAAAUGCUGAGAUAUCACGAAGAACCCCGAUUGCGAAGGCAGCUUACUAAACUGUGACUGACAUUGAUGCUCGAAAGUGUGGGUAUCAAACAGGAUUAGAUACCCUGGUAGUC